rnacentral:misc_RNA from 1 species
AAGUCGUAACAAGGUUUCCGUAGGUGAACCUGCGGAAGGAUCAUCAAUAGUCUCAAAAAGUCUUGUCUGGAUGCAGCACCAUUUGGUGUUGUUCCGACUUGACAAAAAUACCUUCUUGUGCACUGUUUGUUGGUUAUUGACUGACUGGGGGAGUUGCUGGGAUGUGCUUUGGCAUGUCUUGCGCCCCCAGCCGGUUGUUUGUUUUAUACAAACUCUGUUAAUAUUACUGUCUCAGGAUCUAGUUGCAAUAAUUUGUUGAAUAUAAACACAACUUACAGCGAUGGAUCUCUAGGCUCUGGU